GCGCGCGCCUGCCCUAUCUGGUGGAGACAGCAACGGGCAGCGAGGCAGGAGAUGCUGGGAUAUGACAGGCCCAUUGAUUCAUCAGGACCACUCUAACGCCGCACUCUUUUUUUUACAAAAAGAGGAUGACACUGGUUGACUGUGUCCUUGCCACAACAGGUUCUGUAACGUUGAACUCCAGCGGAAAUCCUUUUUCUUUAAAUGUAUUCAUUUAUUUUCACUUAUGUAUUUUUCCUAUAUACAAAUGUGCAUUGAAUAUCCGCUGUCAUAUUGAA